AUUGAACGCUGGCGGCAUGCCUUACACAUGCAAGUCGAACGGCAGCGGACCCUCGGGUGCCGGCGAGUGGCGAACGGGUGAGUAAUGUAUCGGAACGUACCUUUCAGUGGGGGAUAACGUAGCGAAAGUUACGCUAAUACCGCAUAUUCUGUGAGCAGGAAAGCAGGGGAUCGCAAGACCUUGCGCUGAUUGAGCGGCCGAUAUCAGAUUAGCUAGUUGGUGAGGUAAAGGCUCACCAAGGCGACGAUCUGUAGCGGGUCUGAGAGGAUGAUCCGCCACACUGGAACUGAGACACGGUCCAGACUCCUACGGGAGGCAGCAGUGGGGAAUUUUGGACAAUGGGGGCAACCCUGAUCCAGCCAUGCCGCGUGAGUGAAGAAGGCCUUCGGGUUGUAAAGCUCUUUCGUCCGGGAAGAAAUCGCAUCAGCUAAUACCUGGUGUGGAUGACGGUGCCGGAAUAAGAAGCACCGGCUAACUACGUACCAGCCGCCGCAGUAAAAC
rnacentral:rRNA from 1 species